GCCGUCAUGGGACAAUGGUACUCCGCACGCUUGGAGAGCGUGUUACCUUCGGGUUUUCCAGGUUCGAUUCCUGGUGACGGCG
rnacentral:tRNA from 1 species